rnacentral:rRNA from 1 species
CGUAACAAGGUCUCCGUUGGUGAACCAGCGGAGGGAUCAUUACCGAGUUUACAACUCCCAAACCCCAAUGUGAACGUUACCAAUCUGUUGCCUCGGCGGGAUUCUCUGCCCCGGGCGCGUCGCAGCCCCGGAUCCCAUGGCGCCCGCCGGAGGACCAACUCAAACUCUUUUUUCUCUCCGUCGCGGCUUCCGUCGCGGCUCUGUUUUACCUUUGCUCUGAGCCUUUCUCGGCGACCCUAGCGGGCGUCUCGAAAAUGAAUCAAAACUUUCAACAACGGAUCUCUUGGUUCUGGCAUCGAUGAAGAACGCAGCGAAAUGCGAUAAGUAAUGUGAAUUGCAGAAUUCAGUGAAUCAUCGAAUCUUUGAACGCACAUUGCGCCCGCCAGUAUUCUGGCGGGCAUGCCUGUCCGAGCGUCAUUUCAACCCUCGAACCCCUCCGGGGGGUCGGCGUUGGGGAUCGGCCCCUCACCGGGCCGCCCCCGAAAUACAGUGGCGGUCUCGCCGCAGCCUCUCCUGCGCAGUAGUUUGCACACUCGCACCGGGAGCGCGGCGCGGCCACAGCCGUAAAACACCCCAAACUCUGAAAUGUUGACCUCGGAUCAGGUAGGAAUACCCGCUGAACUUAAGCAUAUCAAU